CCAGUUUAUGUGACUGCACUCGCUGCUGCGGGGUGACGAUAAUCAUGUAGCAGCGGCUGCUUCAGUGAAUAAAGUGAGACGGUGUGUGCUUCGUGUAGUUUUCAUUUCUGAAAUCUAAAAUUUACACUGAACUCCAGUGUUAGCGUGGAGCUAUUCUGGCAUCAAAUCCCUGAACCUUACAAACUGUGAGCGGCGGCAUGCUCAGCUGUGUUAUGGCAAAGGAGGACCAGCUGACACCCAGCAUGGUCCGACCAACCUGAGAACCAAAGUGUGUUAUUGGACUAUGUAAAGCCUAAGUAUACAAAUACAGGCUAUUUACCAUUUAUUUAUCACUGAAUUAAACUAAACUAACAGCAGUCUUUCUUCUGCUUCUCCUGAACAUUAAGUACCUGUCUCAGCUGAUAUUGAUCUUCUGUGAUUCAAAUUCAGAUCUGUGGUUAAUCAAAUUAUCUACAACCAAUUGACACGCCGCAAACUCAGAGCUUUGGAGGCCAGACGCAGCUGACCGCUCUGCACGGCCGUUAAUCCAACCUUGGCUCAUAGAUUUGUUCUGUACCCAGAGUUGGACCGACGGUUGGGUUCUGGUGCACCAAAUCAGUACUGAAUCUGACUGACCAACUCUGUUACUCUUUUCUGCUUAUAAUUGAUUAAUUGUGUUACUUUGUUUACUUUAAGAAAACAUUUCGGGCUUCUUUCAGUUUCCAAUGUGUCGAACACACCGGAAACACAGAUGUUUAGAAGAAAUCAUCAGUCUUGUCUGCAGUUGGUGAGCCUGAUGCAGGCAGUAAUGCACAUCUACGAGCCACGUGCAUGUUUGAUUUGUCAACUCUACAUUUACAAAGUUUCUUCUUUUCUGGAAACCGAGCCUGGUUUUAUGAUUUUAAUAGUCAAUGUUUUAUUGGGGUGUAGUUCAUGUUUUAAGAAAAAGAGGACAUCUUUAAAAGAAGUUCAAACCUGAUGGAAAUACGUCAUCUCUGCUAGUUUCUGUGCAAACACAGCUGAUGGUUUUGACUCUACAGUAGGAUGCUGAAGUCACAUGAUGAAUAAAUGAUGGACGUAGCCAUCGUGAUGUCACCUGUUAGUUUGUAAAGACUGAAGCUGAGCCCACUGACCAUCAUCAUCUUAUCUUAAGAAGAUGUCACAUUAGAGGGAUACUGGAUGCUUAUACGCUAGCGACUUGUCGAUCACACCCAGCUUUACUGUCCUUCUGGGAACUAAUGGACUUUGAUUAGAGUUGAAACACACGAGUGAGACCACAAGCUGUUGAUGAUAGCGUUUACUGAGGUCACACGGCGCUCUCGAUUCGACACAUAGGAUGAUUUUUUUCACUUGUUUUAAACUAUAAUAGUUCCUGCGAAUGAUCUGUGUCUUCAGAAUCAUCAGGAACUUUUCUUGGGAACUUUUUUACUUUGCUGUUGUGUUUUACAUCUGGUGUUACCAUGGAAACCAGAUUUAAUGCAGCCUAAGCCCGAAAAUACAGACAUUUACCUGCAAGGUUAAAAUUCGGACAUAGCUUCGGGUUCUGAAAAGUACUUUUUUCUUAUAUAAUGGCCAACAGGGGGCGACUCCUCUGGAUGGUUUAGUUGUCUUUGACACAUUGACCUUUGGCUCUCCCAAUCUAUAACCUCAUUAAAGACUUUCCUGGUGGCUCUAUGGUCGCAAUCAAUACCUUAUAGUGUUCCUUUUUAAAUAACGAUCUCUGUUAGAGUCAAAAAUGACAAUGACUCGGGGUACGAGCAUGUGACUUAAAACUCCUGGCAGUAUCAAGUUUCUCGUCUGGUUUCAACACCAAGACGCUUCUGGACGAUUCAGUAAGGGAUGGCUCAUCACAUUAGCUACAUCCAUCAUCUUUACUCAGUAUAUGAAUGUAAUGCACAGUAUAAAAGUUGGGCUUUAAUGCACAAGUUCAAAAUCAACACAUAAACAGGUCGACGCGCUGCAGGUGCAUGUCAGCAAAUUCAUAUUUUCCACACACUCAAAACGUGGUUAGAUGGAUGCAGCAGGGAGACAGAGUUUGGUUCUGUUGAAGGAUCACCGCCUCCAUCUGCUCUCUCUGAUACCUGUUUAAAUAUUUUAUAAUACAGCCUAAUGAAACAUGAAGAGCCCGGCUUUUCCAAACAAUUAAGCAUAAUGAGUGUCUCUCAGAGAUCGUGGCGCUAAAACUAAAAGGCAACAACUGGGAAAUCAAACAUGUCAAAGACAGAACUGAAACUCUACACUGAUGGAAGCACAGUCCGGAUCCAGCAUCCGGGCCCGCUCUUUACCGCCAGCCGACUGAGCCUAGUUUCGAAUUGACGGACGUCGGCGGUAACCAAUCAGCGCCUGCCGUGCGCCAAAGCCGUGUUUAUUCCACUUAGCCGACCAAUCCGAGCCGUCCUCUGCGGCCAAGUGCGUCAUCAGAGUAGAAUGUGAAUGUGGGCUGCCUGUUACCGGAGCACACUUUGCUCCCAUCCCCCAUCAACACUGAGCAAUGGCGGCUACCCUUUUUUGCGUGCCGCUUUGUCCUUCUCAGUUCAGCUUGUAAAAGCCAUGUGUACAAAAGUCGGCGGAGGAAAUGAGCCACCAGCACUGUUCACUGCACCCGCUCACUGAGCCCGAACAGCCCGAAUCACGGCGUCAGAGCCGGCUGUGUGUGUGUUGUUCGACGGGCACUGUGUUUAUUUGUGUCUCGACCUUGGCGCACGAAUUUAUGGGCUGUUAUGUAAAAAAAAAAAAAAAGCCCUCAAGAGUGUCAAGUGCGCACAUACAGGGAUGAGUUUCAAACAUGGACGUCGGGAAGGGGCGGGGCGACGAAGAGCUGCGAUGUGACAUGGCGGCGCCGCUCCACAUUUACACUCUGAGCGCCUUGUAUCUGACUGAUGUUGUUCACAUGGAGCUUGAGAUGUGACACUAACUUUUGGGGAGAAAAGCCCGAUUUAAUCCGUAAUAACAUCCGUGUCGUCCACGUUUCCCUCCCAAACACUUCGCCUCUAUUCCCCCGUCGCGGCGGUGGGCGGGAGAAACCGUCUGAAGUCGCCGCUUGACUCGUCCAGACGCACAUCAAUCAAUCAAAGUGACACUACGUCAACCGAAGCGCUCUCGAUUCGACAUAUUUACUGCGUAACUCGACGGAAACUCGAUUUUCUUGCGCUCACGGUGCUGUGGAGCUGCCACGGUUCCGGCUCCGGUCCGUUUUGUGGGCUUUUAUCGACUCUGAUUAUUGUUUUAGGGGAGAAAGGGACGGUUGCAGCGAUAGAAUAGGAGGGGGCGUGGCCUUUGGGUUAAGAAAUCCUAUCCAUUGUUACUCUACGCGCUAGGAGAACACCUCUGCCGAGCCUCUGGCCAAUCAGAGACCACCGACCUCAUGAAGACCCCGCCCACAAGCCUAUAUUAAAGGCUCGGCCGUCAGAAGCAUUGGCCACUGGCACAAUAUAAUACUGAUUGAUCCGCUAACCGAGACGAGGGGAUUUACUUUAUUCAACCUUUCAUUUCAGCCGUCCUUUAUUUUAUUCUACUAAACAAUGGCAGACACACAGGUCGACUCCGGCUCGGAUAUCUCUGCCAAGGACCUGAAAGAGAAGAAGCUGGUGGAGGAGAAGGAGAACGGCAAAGACGCCGCCACCAAUGGGAAGGAGAAUGAAGAGAACGGUGAGCCCGAGGAAGAAGAGGAAGAUGAUGGAGAAGGUGAUGAGGAAGAUGAGGAGGAGGACGACGACGAGAUUGAGGGUGGCACAAAACGGGCAGCUGAGGAUGACGAGGACGACGACGAGGACGACGUCGAAACCAAGAAGCAGAAAACCGACGAUGACGAUUGAUGCGUUUCCCCCGCGCCAUCCUGCUGAACCACUUCCUGAUUCUUCACCUCUGACCAUUUUUCUAUGUCGCAGGUGGAGGGGCUGGAGGACUGAUUUAAAGGAAAAAAUAAUAAUAAUAAAAAAAAUCCAACAUGGUCAUUAGCAAGUAGAGUUCAACAAACACCCGCCACGCCCACACCCACCCGAGCUCCCCUCGACGCUGCGAGACAAAUUUUCUAGAGGAACCCGCCACCGCAUCGACGACGCAGAAAUCCGGCUUCUCUUCAGCAACAACACAAAAGGAGAAUUUGUUUGUAUUUUUAUUUACAUUUUAUAUUUUUGUACAUAUUGUUAGGAGAGGGGAGGGGGGCAGUUUCUCUCUCGGCAGCGAUCCCGUCAGACCAAAUCGGUGCUUCUCUAACGAAAGAUUUUACUUGGUUGACCAUGUUACGAUAUCUCAACAGAUCUUAGAAAAACGUGUAAAAAAAUAAAAUGAAUAAAAACAUGAAAGACAACCUCUUAAGCCGUUGAACUCAGAGCAUUCCAGUAAAUUUAAUGUAUGUACUUUAGCUGUACCAUAACUAGUUUGUUUGUAUGGGAGGGUAAGGCCAAAGAAAAGAGCCUCUUUUCUUUUUCCUUUCUUUUGGUUUUUUUUCUUUUGGUUUUGUUUUUGUCAGCGACUUUUUGUUUUAUGACGGCCUGUUUUGAUGUAUGUGCAAAGUUUGUUGUUUGACAAUAAACCGGACUUUUAUUUUGUGAGUUGUACUUUGUAUCUCUGCCCCUUUUUAUUUGUGCUUUGCUCUCCUGUGAGGAAGAGGAAGCAGUGCAGGUAAACCUGAGGUCUGCUUUUACUUUAGGGUCACAACAGCGAGGAGGUGGGUCCAGCACAUCUUAUUGGACAUUUUACACUCAUUACAUCCAUAUAAUUCAUAUUACAUAAAAGUUAAGGUUUGGUACUAAAAUAAACUGGCGGUUCCAAAAGACUAAAUGUGGUUUAUUUCUUUUGGAUUUUUCUCUUCUUUUUGUCUAUAUUGCAAACAUGCAAACAGAAGCAGUUCUGAUAGUUGAAAGUUGUAAGAAUAACAUAAUGUGUCACAUAAAUAAGGGUUUCUGCAUGAAUUUAAAGUCUUAACAUUAAAAUAAAGCAUAUUAAGGUCUGAGAAGCUGAUCUGUAUUCUAAUAAAUUUCCUCCGUUUGUAGAGGUUGUGUUUAAGGUCCGUGGGAAAAAUCAUUGCCAAUAAGUUUAAUUUUGUAAGUUAGUCUGUUAGUAAAUUUAUUUGGACCAAUGUCCAGGUAAGUGCACUUCUACAAUUUCAAGUUCUUUGGUUUGAAAAUGUAAAAAGUGCAGAAAAAGAGUAAAAAGUUGGAGAAAUUCCUGAUUCAGGAUCUUCCAGUGAGGCGGUGGAAAACUGCACAAUAAGAAGUGAGAGCUUAAGCUCAAAGUCGUGUUUUCAGAUUCAGUGUUUUGUCU
ensembl:lncRNA